CAGGAAAGCUGUGAAAAAAACACCCCAGGAGUCACUCCAUGCUUUUUCCAAAAGGAAGGAUACUUGUAGGAGAGAGAGAGAGACACUUGCUCUCCUGAGCUCAUCUGCUCACAUCGUCCAUUCACCACCUGAAGUCAUAACCCCGUUUGCGAAUCACUCCCCCAGCAGCAAACUGCAUUCCUACAGGCUCAGCUCAUGGGUUCAAAUGAGCAAGGCACAUAUGCAUGCUUAACAAUGAAUACAUCAAAGACUUUGCAUUCAUACUCAAGCCUCUGUUCAUAAAAGACUGGGGAAGAGAGGUAGGAAAUUCAAGGUUUUCCAACCAAAACUCACAGAAGCAAAUUAGAUAAAUCCUGUGGAAUGAUAAAAGCUCAGAAUGAAAGACACCAGUAACGUUCAACACACAGUUAAGGUACGUGGAGAUCAGUUCGUACGGUGCGUUGGUGGAUUUAAUAAAGAGGAUCGGGUCUGAACAACGUCCCUAGAAGAACCCAACGUUGUCCUUUCUAGCUCCUACCCAGAGGGACCCGAAUGAAGAACGUGUGAGCAGACCACGUGGGGAAAGUGUCUUAUUUCCAAAUUCAAAAAACCAGCUCGACCAAAUUGAACUGUUUUGCAAAAAAAAAAAAUCUUCCUCUCUGGGCCCAGCCCCCAAAUCAGAUCAUUUUAGGCCUGGUUCAGAAAACUGCUCUGGGGCGAGUGAAGCGCGUGGGAAGAGUCAGGAAGAGAGGCCCCGAGAUGAGUUAAGAAGAGUCGCACGCAUUUAGCCCUAACGAUACUGCAAGUGGCCGCUGUCCUCAGCCAGAGAUCUCAGCCGACCAAGCUGCGGGCAACACGGGGUAGGACAAAGUUGCUAAGAGAAGUCGGUUCAUUUUUCAAGUGCAAGACAGGGGCUGUCUACACCACCCUGAGCAGUGCCCCAGAGCAUCUCUGUGAAAACCCCCUCCUGCUCCGCUGUGCCAAGUCCUGGUACCUCACCCUGGCACACAGCCAGUGCCACUCAAAAGGCAGUGACCUGGCAUUUUUUUGGCAUGCAUUUGCUGGGAACGGGCAGGAGCGGAUGGACUUUCACUGCAACACCCCUCAGCACUGUCAGCUGUGAUAAAGACAUGCCCUUGGACUUGUAAAACCCGCUUAUUCCAAGAAGAGACAAGAGAAACAGGGACAGCAAGGCUGAGAAGUGGUCGGCGGCUUUUGGGCAUGACGACUGCUGAUGACGCGCUUUUGAGACCGGGGUGCCAGCAGAGCGGGACCGCUAUAUAAAGCAGCCGUGAAGCAACACCGCAAGGAACCACGACCCCGAGGAGUGCAGAUCGCUUCCCAAUUCCCUGCAACUUCCUUUCUCUCUUGCUCCCCAAAGGGUCUUGGAGCCGCAGAAAGAGAUCAGAGCAGCCGGGGUGGAUCUGAUUCUAUAACGAAUGUGAGGCUGCUGGAACAGCAGCCAGAUCCAGUUGAUGCCACACUGGUGAACAGUGAUAUUUUUACCAGGCUACUCGAGCUCAGACCAGCAGCUUACUUAAGCAGAUCACCUCCUGUCUAACAACAUGCUACUUGCUCUCAGUGAACUGGAUACUUAUUUCUAUGAUGCAGCUUUAAAGAAUAAAUAGCAAUAAACAGUAAAAACACA